ACCCAGGGGGUCUCCAGGGGGCCCGUGGCCACAGCAGAACCUUCAGGGAGGGGUGGUCCCAGCAGCCCCCCAACCCGGUCCCCACCCUGCACCCCCAUUGCUAGGUGGGAGGCUGGCCAGCCCCGGCCGCUCCAGGCCACCGUCCCUCCAAGUUAAUGAUCACAGGCCUUAUCAGGGCCUUUUGCCGUUUAUAAAUUUAUAAAACAAAAGAGAAAUAAUAAAGCGCAUGGGUAAUUAGUAACCAGGUCAGCUCUGCUGAGGAGAGGGGAGGCAUCGCGCUGGACCCACCCAGUUCUCCGCGAGGUGGGGAGCCGGCCAGGGGAGCCCAGAGCCCGGCGGCCUCUCAUGGCGCCCGUGGGCCAGCUUGGGGCCUGGGGCCGUGCAGCCAGGGGAGCAGCCCCCACCUGAGGCUGCAGUCACUCUAGCUCUCUGCUGUGGCCUGGGAAAGCGGUAGAAGAUGGCCCAAGUCCUUGGGCCCCUGCACCCAUGUGGGAGACCCAGAAGAUGGCUUCGGAUUGGCACAGUUCCGGCCGUUGCAGCCAUCUGAGGAGUGAACCAGCAGAUGGAAGACCUCUCUCUCUCUGUCUCUCCCUUUCUCUGUAACUCUACCUCUCAAAUAAAUAAAAUAAAAUCUGUAAAAAAAAAAAAAAAAAAACCUGUGAUGACCAAAAUAACAAACUUUUAAAAACAGGCUCCCGCCCCCACCACCCCACCCUGAGCCAAGCCCUGGGGCCGUCUCACCCUGCCCCUCUCUCCCAGCCUGGACGCCAGGCCUCACUGGUCCCCUCGGCCACUCUCAGAGGGCGCUCAGCCGCUAAGCAUGGGCAAGCGCCGUGCAGUGGGUUAACGGCGACCCCCCCACCCCCAGGUAGACUGAAGAGGUGGUUCAUCACUCACCAGCACCCUCCAACCACGUGUGGCUUCCAAGCACCCAGGAUGGGGCCACUGCCGCUUGCCUAAAUGAUGUUUUGGACAUAAUGGGUGAAGCUUACAACAUAAAAAUGUAGGAGUAGGCGUUUAGCCUAGCAGCUAAGACAGCAGAGUCCUGGGCACAGUGCCAGCCCUGCCUCCUGAUUCUCGAUUCCUGGCGGGCAGCGGUGACGGCCAGACAGGCGGGGCCCCCACCCACGUGAGAGAUCCCGACUGAACUCCGGGCUUCAGCCCAGCCCAGGCCCGGCUGUUGCAGACACUUUGGGAGCUCCCUGUCUCUCCAUCUCUGCCUCUCAAAUAAAAAAAAAUCAAUUGUAAAAUGAAUUAUAAUUAAUCAUAUUUUAACUAAAGCAUAAUAGUAACCAUAAUUAUAUUUGAUUAUAUAAUAAUCAUAUUAAAAUAUUCCCCUAUUAUCGGAGGGUACAUCAAAAAUUUCAUAGGAAAUGUAAUUUAAAAUAAUGCACAUUUCCAUGAACUUUUUGAAGACUUUUUGCACUUAAUUGUUACUAAUUAUAUUUAAUAUGUUAAUUAUAUUGUGUUUAAUUUUAAAAGUUACAAAAUAACUUCACUUUUUUUUUAACUUCUCUAAUAGUGCUUCUGGAAAACUUGAAAUGACACAGGUGGCUGAUUUUUCUUUUUUUUUUAAGGUUUAUUUUUAUUUAUUUGAAAGAGUAACAGAGAGAUGUAGAGACAGAGAGGAGAGAGGUCUUCCAUCUGCUGGUUCACUCCCCAGAUGGCUGCAACAGCUGUAGCUGUGCUGAUCCGAAGCCAGGAGCCAGGAGCUUCUUCUGGGUCUCCCACGUGGGUGCAGGGGCCCGAGCACUUGGGCCAUCUUCUACUGCUAUCCCAGGCCACAGCAGAGAG